rnacentral:rRNA from 1 species
UACGGGGGGAGCAAGCGUUGUUCGGAUUUACUGGGCGUAAAGCGCACGUAGGCGGGUCGUUAAGUCGGGGGUGAAAUCCUGGAGCUCAACUCCAGAACUGCCUUCGAUACUGGCGACCUAGAGUCCGGAAGAGGUGAGUGGAACUCCUAGUGUAGAGGUGGAAUUCGUAGAUAUUAGGAAGAACACCAGUGGCGAAGGCGGCUCACUGGUCCGGUACUGACGCUGAGGUGCGAAAGCGUGGGGAGCAAACAGG